rnacentral:rRNA from 1 species
GUGUCAGCAGCCGCGGUAAGACGAACCGUGCGAACGUUAUUCGGAAUCACUGGGCUUAAAGCGCGCGUAGGCGGCGUCGUAAGUCAGGGGUGAAAUCCCAACGGCUCAACCGUGGAAUUGCCUUUGAUACUGCGAUGCUCGAGGGAGGUAGGGGCAAGUGGAACUUCCAGUGGAGCGGUGAAAUGUGUUGAGAUUGGAAGGAACGCCGGUGGCGAAAGCGACUUGCUGGAUCUCUUCUGACGCUGAGGCGCGAAAGCUAGGGUAGCGAACGGGAUUAGAAACCCCCGUAGUCC